rnacentral:rRNA from 1 species
AGAGUUUGAUCAUGGCUCAGGACGAACGCUGGCGGCGUGCUUAACACAUGCAAGUCGAGCGGUAAGGCCCUUCGGGGUACACGAGCGGCGAACGGGUGAGUAACACGUGAGCAACCUGCCCCCGACUCUGGGAUAAGCGGUGGAAACGCCGUCUAAUACCGGAUACGACCCGUCACCUCAUGGUGUGCGGGUGGAAAGUUUUUUCGGUUGGGGUUGGGCUCGCGGCCUAUCAGCUUGUUGGUGGGGUAAAGGCCUACCAAGGCGAUUACGGGUAGCCGGCCUGAGAGGGCGACCGGCCACACUGGGACUGAGACACGGCCCAGACUCCUACGGGAGGCAGCAGUGGGGAAUAUUGCACAAUGGGCGAAAGCCUGAUGCAGCGACGCCGCGUGGGGGAUGACGGCCUUCGGGUUGUAAACCUCUUUUACCACUAACGCAGGCUCCACGUUCUCGUGGGGUUGACGGUAGGUGGGGAAUAAGGACCGGCUAACUACGUGCCAGCCGCCGCGGUAAUAC